CAGGCCAGGGCUGAGAUGCAGAAGAUGACGGGGCUUCUGUGGAUCACUGCAGAACGGACUGGGCUGGCAGCCGGGGACUGAGGUGCUGCCAGCAAACCAUGCCUACUACAGGCCUGGCAGGACCUGGAUUUCAGGACUGAGUUCCUCAGCAGCCCCUCUGCCAAGGCCAGCACCAUGCUAAAAACACCCUGAGAAGUCUAGAGAGUGUCCCUAGACUCUGAUGUCCCCUGGCACUUGAAAACUGCAUUCCUUCAGCCAAGGAUAAGUGAAACUGCUCGUCUAAGAAAACUGGAGAAAUCACAGACAAAGCCCAGGAGCCACUGGUGGUCAUUUGCAGCAGAAAUCUGCCCCACCCAGAGGUCCCUGGCCUGGCCUUGCUGCUCAGGCUUCUCACUACACAGCUACCAGAAACCUGGAGCCUUUGGGUACCUGGGACCAGGAGCCUUUGAUCUUCAGUCCUGAUGAAUGUCAUUUCCAGACUGAAGCCAUCCUUAGCAGGGAAUACAGAAAUGGGACAGUGGGACCAAGAGCAAGCCAAGAGCAAAAUCUUUGUACUCUGUCAGCCUGAAUCAGGUCUUCUUCUGUCUCAGCAACCAUACUCCAGUGCAUCCCGACCUGGUGGACUCUGGUGCUCCACAGGCCAGGCUAUUCCAGUCUUCCCUUGAUCACCAACCUGGGUGGCUGAACACCAGCUGGGCAUUGGCAUUAGAUUGGAAAAACCGACUGAGCUUUCAAAUGGGAACUAGAGCAUAGACUCAGCUUAAAUGUCAACAGAAUCUCAUCUCACUGGAGACUCAGUUUCUGAAACAGGAGCCUGAUCCUUGUAGAAACUAAGCAAUUCUUUUGGUAUAGACAUAGAAUGCUUGUCCUGGACAGGUUUUCCCUUUGUAGCCGUGGCUGUCCUGCAACAAGCUCUGUAGACCAGGCUGGUCUUGAACUUAGAGAACCAGCCGCCCCUGGCUCUGCUUCUACAGAGCUGGAAUUAAAGGUGAAUUCAAGACAACAGAGCAGUUCUGCCCAGUUUUGUGGAAAAAAAUGUCAGUUCUUCAGAGCACACCAAGAAGGACGCUUGUCUUACCAGCCCUGAGUCCCCGGUAUUCCAUGUCCUGGCCACUGUGUUACUUAGGAAAGCCAAGCCACUGCUUUGAGGAGAGUUGGUCUGUUGAGUGGGAACUGUUUUCUCUUCCCUGUGGAC